UCUGACACAAUAUCCUCUGAUCGUUGCUGUGUUUAAUGUAAAACGUUUGAUUUUUUAAAAUGUUCUCUUUGUUUAAUUAGCUUCGGCCUGCAGGCAAAGCCACUGUUUUAAAGAAAAACAUGUAAAUGUGGUUGUCUUCAACUAGCAAUACCAGUAAAGAGUCAGAGAAGACAGCAGUGCACAACUCAUCUGGCUCCAGAGGAAAACUUUCAACAGCACCACUGCUGACCUGCAGCAAAAAUUCAGAUGUUGAGAUGUUGGCUGAGAUGGGCCAACAGUCUGCAGGGACAGCAAAACAUAACAGCAGAGGAUGAAGGUAAGGGAUUUAUUCCUCGUUCAGAAAUGCAGCUCUUCCAAUGGAGAAGGUAAUAUUUUAAAGCAUUAUGUUAUUUGAUUUUGAUUAGGACUAAAUAGGUCUUUAUUUGUACCUACAAACACACUUCCUGCUUCAUUUUGGAACAUAAAUGAGAAGAAGUGGUGUACCUACUGUAUUCUGCUUACUUUUAGAAAGAAGUGAAAAACCAGAACCUCUACAACCCAUCCAUCAUCCGCUUCCUGCUGUGUAGAUCCAAGAGUCACCUACUUCCUCGGCCAGCUGUCAUCUAAAAGGGAGCAGCUACAGGAUGUAAUCCCUUGCAUCAUCAGUAAAGCCUGUGGAAAUGAAGAUUAUCCCUGUCUUCUCUUGACACAUUUGUACAUUACUGCAGUCUUUUUUACUUUAACAUAGAGGCGAUAUUCAAACUUUGACGUUUUUUACUUUUUUUUUGUUUUCAUUUGAUUAAAAGCCAGAAAUAAAUGUUCUGCACCUGUUGGCCUGCUGCUUAUCCCUGUGGCCCAUGGUGCAGUGCUGCAUCUCUGGUCAGUUGGUAGUCUGAGAUGAAGCACUGUAGCUCGGGACGGAGGACAGACAGACCUGUUGAAGUAUGUCAAAAUAAGGAAGCAGCAUCUAUCAUGGUCUUUGGGACUGUGAUAUGUUUCUCUAAGAGGAUCUGGAACCCAUGGAGAUUUAACGAGAGAACCAUUCUGUCAUAUUUUCUGUUUGUAUUGCUUCUUUCUUGCAUAUAAACUCCUGUUGAGGACAGAAAAAAACUUAAGUCACAUCGUUUUUUGUUUGGAAGUACAAUUCUAAACAGCCACCCUUGUUUUUUGAUUACCCUUUUCUCUGGGGUCCAGUUUUCCCAGGAAUCCCUUCACUUAACAGAAAGGGGGAUUCCUGGAAAUACUGAUCUUGGGGGCGAGGCUUCUCACCAUGCCCAGAGGCAUUUAGUAUUUAACAAGUAUUAAGAAUUAAUACCAUGAUUUCUGUGUGCUGUAAAGAAGAAAAUUUAAAAAGGCUGGCAACAAAGAUAAAUCUGAAAAAAGACAAAGUGUUUCAGGUUCCUUGUAUUUUACCUGCAUAUAACUGCCAAUUGUACUUGUAAUGUCUUUGGUUUUGACAGAAUAAAGAAAAUAGUUUAAAUAAUAGGAUUGUUAUUUUUGUUCUGUGCUUUCUCAUAUUCAAUUCCCCAACAAUAAAAAAAGGUGUUUAUUACAGAAAAUCAAGAUCUAGUGACAAGUGGAUCACUAUUAGUUACAAAACAUGUUUUUUUUAAUCAUUUUGUAUGUAAAACCUCUAUUUUGUUUUUCUAAUAAAGCAGUUUAAAAAUUC